rnacentral:rRNA from 1 species
GAUGAACGCUGGCGGCGUGCCUAAUACAUGCAAGUCGAACGCAUAGCGAAAGGUGCUUGCCCCUUUCAAGUGAGUGGCGAACGGGUGAGUAACACGUGGACAACCUGCCUCAAGGCUGGGGAUAACAUUUGGAAACAGAUGCUAAUACCGAAUAAAACUUAGUGUCGCAUGACACAAAGUUAAAAGGCGCUUCGGCGUCACCUAGAGAUGGAUCCGCGGUGCAUUAGUUAGUUGGUGGGGUAAAGGCCUACCAAGACAAUGAUGCAUAGCCGAGUUGAGAGACUGAUCGGCCACAUUGGGACUGAGACACGGCCCAAACGCCUACGGGAGGCUGCAGUAGGGAAUCUUCCACAAUGGGCGAAAGCCUGAUGGAGCAACGCCGCGUGUGUGAUGAAGGCUUUCGGGUCGUAAAGCACUGUUGUAUGGGAAGAACAGCUAGAAUAGGAAAUGAUUUUAGUUUGACGGUACCAUACCAGAAAGGGACGGCUAAAUACGUG